GGACAGGUAUCGAAGCGGUCAUAACGAGGCGGUCUUGAAAACCGUUGGGCAGCAAUGCCACCAGGGUUCGAAUCCCUGCCUGUCCG
rnacentral:tRNA from 1 species